UGCCUGGCGGCGAUAGCGCGGUGGUCCCACCUGACCCCAUGCCGAACUCAGAAGUGAAACGCCGUAGCGCCGAUGGUAGUGUGGGGUCUCCCCAUGUGAGAGUAGGGAACUGCCAGGCAU
rnacentral:rRNA from 8 species